rnacentral:misc_RNA from 1 species
AAGACUAUAGACCUGCGGAGUACCUGCGGAAGGAUCAUUAUAGAGUGGUAAACCCCCCGUAAAAGGGGGGGACCUCCUGUCCUUUGUAGGCUCUUUUUUAAAAGGGCUUUUUUUAAUUUUCUGCUUCGGUGGGGUUAUCCCACCGGAACAACCUCAAAACUCUUAUCAAAAAAUCGUUCUGUCUGAGAACCUUUUAUAAUAAAAAAAAACUUUUAGCAACGGAUCUCUAGAUCGGAAGAG